rfam:Rhizobium sp. Pop5 Contig927, whole genome shotgun sequence.
CCUCUUCGAUCUGCUGCGGCGCGAUGAAAUGGAUAUGGCUGUCCAUGCCGCCGGCUGUGACGAUCUUGCCUUCGGCGGCGAUCGCUUCCGUGCCCGGACCGACGAUGAUGUUGACGCCGGGCUGCAUGUCGGGAUUGCCCGCCUUGCCGAUCGCAACGAUACGCCCGUUCUUGAGCCCGAUAUCGGCCUUGUAGAUGCCUGAGUGAUCGACGAUCACCGCAUUGGUGAUAACAGUGUCGACCGCGCCGUCCGCCCGCGUCACCUGGCUCUGGCCCAUGCCGUCGCGGAUG